rnacentral:rRNA from 1 species
AUGAACGCUGGCGGCGUGCCUAAUACAUGCAAGUCGAACGAGUUCUGAUUAUUGAAAGGUGCUUGCAUCUUGAUUUAAUUUUGAACGAGUGGCGGACGGGUGAGUAACACGUGGGUAACCUGCCCUUAAGUGGGGGAUAACAUUUGGAAACAGAUGCUAAUACCGCAUAAAUCCAAGAACCGCAUGGUUCUUGGCUGAAAGAUGGCGUAAGCUAUCGCUUUUGGAUGGACCCGCGGCGUAUUAGCUAGUUGGUGAGGUAACGGCUCACCAAGGCAAUGAUACGUAGCCGAACUGAGAGGUUGAUCGGCCACAUUGGGACUGAGACACGGCCCAAACUCCUACGGGAGGCAGCAGUAGGGAAUCUUCCACAAUGGACGCAAGUCUGAUGGAGCAACGCCGCGUGAGUGAAGAAGGCUUUCGGGUCGUAAAACUCUGUUGUUGGAGAAGAAUGGUCGGCAGAGUAACUGUUGUCGGCGUGACGGUAUCCAACCAGAAAGCCACGGCUAACUACGUGCCAGCAGCCGCGGUAAUACGUAGGUGGCAAGCGUUAUCCGGAUUUAUUGGGCGUAAAGCGAGCGCAGGCGGUUUUUUAAGUCUGAUGUGAAAGCCCUCGGCUUAACCGAGGAAGUGCAUCGGAAACUGGGAAACUUGAGUGCAGAAGAGGACAGUGGAACUCCAUGUGUAGCGGUGAAAUGCGUAGAUAUAUGGAAGAACACCAGUGGCGAAGGCGGCUGUCUGGUCUGUAACUGACGCUGAGGCUCGAAAGCAUGGGUAGCGAACAGGAUUAGAUACCCUGGUAGUCCAUGCCGUAAACGAUGAAUGCUAGGUGUUGGAGGGUUUCCGCCCUUCAGUGCCGCAGCUAACGCAUUAAGCAUUCCGCCUGGGGAGUACGACCGCAAGGUUGAAACUCAAAGGAAUUGACGGGGGCCCGCACAAGCGGUGGAGCAUGUGGUUUAAUUCGAAGCAACGCGAAGAACCUUACCAGGUCUUGACAUCUUUUGAUCACCUGAGAGAUCAGGUUUCCCCUUCGGGGGCAAAAUGACAGGUGGUGCAUGGUUGUCGUCAGCUCGUGUCGUGAGAUGUUGGGUUAAGUCCCGCAACGAGCGCAACCCUUAUGACUAGUUGCCAGCAUUUAGUUGGGCACUCUAGUAAGACUGCCGGUGACAAACCGGAGGAAGGUGGGGAUGACGUCAAAUCAUCAUGCCCCUUAUGACCUGGGCUACACACGUGCUACAAUGGAUGGUACAACGAGUUGCGAGACCGCGAGGUCAAGCUAAUCUCUUAAAGCCAUUCUCAGUUCGGACUGUAGGCUGCAACUCGCCUACACGAAGUCGGAAUCGCUAGUAAUCGCGGAUCGGCACGCCGCGGUGAAUACGUUCCCGGGCCUUGUACACACCGCCCGUCACACCAUGAGAGUUUGUAACACCCGAAGCCGGUGGCGUAACCCUUUUAGGGAGCGAGCCGUCUAAGGUGGGACAAAUGAUUAGGGUG